rnacentral:lncRNA from 1 species
CCAGAGUGCAUGUUUAUUUAGGGUGGGUGGUUGAGGAAGUGAUUGUGUGUGUAUAUAUAGUAAGUACAUGAGGUAGUGUUGUUAGAACCAGCAUUUGUUGACCAUCUCACAGCAGUCAGACAGAAGCCCAGUAUGAAGUUAACAAUUUCUCUCACAGAUAAUACACAGGUGCCAUCUCCCAGAAUUAUCCAGCCCAUAAGGUCCAGAAUAGGAGCUGUUCUAGGAAAGCGGUUGGUUAUUGAAUGUACGGCAGACCCAGGCCUUCCUGAUGAAUUUGCCCUUGUCUACUGGCUGGUCAACGGCACAUUCCCAAAUGUAGCCUCCACUGAUGGCAGAGUGUCAGAAACAGAAGAGUCAGUUUUAGAGGACGGCAGGGUGAUCCAGAGGAGUCUGGUGUUUAAGAGCGUGACUGCAGAGGACUUCAGGUCCACCUUUACCUGUGUGAUAAACAGCCCAGCUGGGCUUGACCAAAGGACUUUCACACUGGCCAAUCACAAGGCUCUAUUUCCCCCUCCUUCACCCACUCCCAAAACCGAGGAGAGAACAAUGAGAAAAGACACAGGAAAAGGGAUCACAGGAAAAAGGAUCACAGCAAAACACACUAGCAAGAAAUGA